CACGUAUGGUGCGAGCGUUGUCCGGAAUUAUUGGGCGUAAAGAGCUCGUAGGCGGUGUGUCGCGUCGGCCGUGAAAACCUGCAGCUUAACUGUGGGCUUGCGGUCGAUACGGGCAUCACUGGAGUUCGGCAGGGGAGACUGGAAUUCCUGGUGUAGCGGUGAAAUGCGCAGAUAUCAGGAGGAACACCGGUGGCGAAGGCGGGUCUCUGGGCCGAUACUGACGCUGAGGAGCGAAAGCGUGGGGAGCGAACAGG
rnacentral:rRNA from 1 species